UGAUCGAUUCAAAUCUAUGGAGGAGCAAUGGUCUCGCAUGAUGGGCGACAUGGCAUUAUCUUCUCGCUCAUUUAGUAAUCCUACUCUCCCAAAUAGGGACUCAUCUAAUGCUUAAGUGUUUAAUAUUUUGAGAUUUUAGUUAGUUGAAGUGUCGAAACAUUGUCCCACUUUUUUAGAUAGUUAUAUGCUUUAAAUUUUAAACAUUGGUAGACCUUUUCUUAUUGAAGUUAUGAUUUUGCA
rnacentral:lncRNA from 1 species